CGAUCCAAUCGCUGGGCCGCGGGAGAUACUUUUAGGCUAGGGGAUGGGAGAGGCCGAUGGUAUUCCUGGGGUAGGGGUGAAAUCCUAUAAUCCCGGGAGGACCACCAGUGGCGAAGGCGGUCGGCCAGAACAGGCUCGACGGUGAGGGACGAAAGCUGGGGGAGCGAACCGGAUUAGAUACCCGGGUAGUCCCAGCUGUAAACGAUGCGGGCUAGGUGUCGGAGCGGCUACGGGCCGCUUCGGUGCCGCAAGGAAGCCAUUAAGCCCGCCGCCUGGGAAGUACGGCCGCAAGGCUGAAACUUAAAGGAAUUGGCGGGGGAGCACCACAAGGGGUGAAGCUUGCGGUUCAAUUGGAGUCAACGCCGGGAACCUUACCGGGGGCGACAGCAGGAUGAAGGCCAGAUUGAAGGUCUUGCUGGACGAGCUGAGAGGAGGUGCAUGGCCGUCGCCAGUUCGUGCCGUGAGGUGUCCUGUCAAGUCAGGCAACGAUCGAGACCCACACCCCUAGUUGCCACUGGAUCCCGUUGGAAUCCGAGCACACUAGAGGGACCGCCACUGAUAAGGUGGAGGAAGGAGCGGGCCACGGCAGGUCAGUAUGCCCCGAAUCCCCCGGGCCACACGCGAGCUGCAAUGGCAGGGACAAUGGGCUCCAACCCCGAGAGGGGAAGGUAAUCCCCAAACCCUGCCUCAGUUGGGAUCGGGGGCUGCAACCCGCCCCCGUGAACAUGGAAUCCCUAG
rnacentral:rRNA from 1 species